GGAGGGAUUGUCUUGUAAUGGAUUGGGAUACGUCUGCAAAUUGCCAUAAAACGUAUGAAAACUUCAAUGUUAGAUUUCGUUUUCCCUUGCAGCAAUUUUAGUAGCUAAUGUUAAGCACAAUUUUUAGAAACACAAUUUAUAGAAUUUGUUAUUCACGGAUAAUUAAAAAUUGGUUUCAAAAAUAUUUUCACCAAAAUACUUUCAAUCAUUUUGAAAGAACUUCCAAACCAGCCCAAAGUUUUUCACUCUUCGACAAGCACUCCAACCACGCUCUAAUUAUCAUCACUAUUUUUGAGUAAAUCGAACCUAAGAUAAUGUUAGUAAUAGUAGUUUAACAAUAUCCUCUUAGCGUUUGAAUCUCAGAGUUUGCGAUCAAUUUAUUCUCCACUCGUUAGCGUAAAUAUAUCGUUGUAUAACAACGAUGUCAUCCUAGAACAACUAAAGACAAAACAAUCGAGAACCCCAUUUCUGUUUACUGAAGCAACAAUUAAAUCUCAAUAAAUAAAUUACAUGGAAAAUCAGAUUAGUUAAAACUUAAAAACGCAACUUAAACAAGUUCCAGAAAGAACAAAAAAGAAAAAGAAAUCAAAGCUCUUUGUACUGGAUCAGACAUUCAGUCAUCCCAAAACGCCGCGUUUCAGUUACCACUUAAUACGAGGAAAAAUAAAAAAAGCAACCACCACCGCAACACCAAACAUGCAAAACACCAACCAGAAGAAGAAAAACAACAACAACAACAAGAUCGCAUGUUUUUUUAGCAGCUACAAUUAUUAGAUUGUUAUUUUCUCACAAAAAAAAAAAACAAUCAAAGUAUAUAUACAAGUAGCAUAUAUAGUACUAUAACACUGAUAAACUGAGUAGUUUUUCUGAUCAUCCAAACAGAGCAUUAAGAAAGAGAAAAGUACGUAUAAGUAGCAGGGGAAAGAGAGAGAGAGAGAGUUACUGGGAGAUCGGGGAUGUAAUCAACUAAGUGAGGAACAUCUUCGAGGACGUAGCCGCAGGGGCCGGUGGCGGUUUUGGGCUCGGAGUUGUCGGAAAUUGCCAUGCUGCCACUGGAACGGUCGUUGGGAGUGGAGGCGGGGAAAUAU
rnacentral:lncRNA from 1 species